rnacentral:rRNA from 1 species
AGUGAACGCUGGCGGUAGGCCUAACACAUGCAAGUCGAACGGCAGCACAGUAAGAGCUUGCUCUUACGGGUGGCGAGUGGCGGACGGGUGAGGAAUACAUCGGAAUCUACUUUUUCGUGGGGGAUAACGUAGGGAAACUUACGCUAAUACCGCAUACGACCUACGGGUGAAAGCAGGAGAUCUUCGCACCUUGCGCGAUUGAAUGAGCCGAUGUCGGAUUAGCUAGUUGGCUGGGUAAAGGCCCACCAAGGCGACGAUCCGUAGCUGGUCUGAGAGGAUGAUCAGCCACACUGGAACUGAGACACGGUCCAGACUCCUACGGGAGGCAGCAGUGGGGAAUAUUGGACAAUGGGCGCAAGCCUGAUCCAGCCAUACCGCGUGGGUGAAGAAGGCCUUCGGGUUGUAAAGCCCUUUUGUUGGGAAAGAAAAGAAGCAGGUUAAUACCCCGCUGUUCUGACGGUACCCAAAGAAUAAGCACCGGCUAACUUCGUG